rnacentral:rRNA from 1 species
GACGAACGCUGGCGGCGUGCUUAACACAUGCAAGUCGAACGGAGUGGCGAACGGGUGAGUAACACGUGUGUGACCUGCCCUGCACUUCGGGCUAAGCCCGGGAAACUGGGUUUAAUACCGGCUCUUGUGGGAUGGGCCCGCGGCCUAUCAGCUUGUGUGUGGGUUAAUGGCCUACCAAGUCGGCGACGGGUAGCCGGCCUGAGAGGGUGGACGGCCACAAUGGGACUGAGACACGGGCCAGACUCCUACGGGAGGCAGAAGUGGGGAAUAUUGCACAAUGGGCGGAAGCCUGAUGCAGCGACGCCGCGUGGGGGAUGACGGCCUUCGGGGUGUAAACUCCUUUCACCAUAGACGCGGUAGAUGGAGAAGAAGCACCGGCUAACUACGUGCCAGCAGCCGCGGUAAUAC